AUAUUUCUAUGACUUGACUUGUGACUUGCUUGACCUAAGCUUGACUUGACUCGACGCUAACAAAAAUGACUCAGGACUCAGGACUUGCUUGAGACUCAAAGGUUAAGACUUGAGACUUGCAUAUGUGUGACUUAUUCCCAUCCUUGCUUCUCUGCUAA